rnacentral:rRNA from 1 species
CGAGUUUGAUCCUGGCUCAGGAUGAACGCACAAGACGUGCCUAACACAUGCAAAUCGAAUGAAAACAAUAAUUAAUUAUUGUUUUCAUGGUGAACGGGUGAGUAAUACAUAAGAAUCAGCUUUUAGAUAAGGCAUAAAAGAGUAAUAUCUUGGUAAUUCCUUAUAUGCGCAGUAGUGCUUAAAAAGGGGAUUCCCGUCUAAAAACGAGCUUAUGUCUGAUUAGCUAGUUGGCGAGUUAAAAGCUCACCAAGGCGAAGAUCAGUAGCUGGCCUGAGAGGGCGGCCAGCCACAUUGGGACUGAGACACGGCCCAAACUCCUACGGGAGGCAGCAGUGAGGAAUCUUCUGCAAUGGGCGCAAGCCUGACAGAGCGGCGUCGUGUGAAGGAGGAAGGCCUUAAAUAGGUUGUAAACUUCUUUUACUGAGUAAUGAAUACUGACAACGCAGUAAAAAAGUAUCGGCUAACUCCGUGCCAGCAGCCGCGGUAAUACGGGGGAUGCAAGCGUUAUCCGGAAUAACUGGGCGUAAAGCGUCUGUAGGUGGUUUAGUGUGUUCUUAGUUAAAUUCUGAAGCCUAACUUCAUGAAAAGUAAGAAAACUAUUAGACUUGAGUACGAUAGGGGUAAGAGGAAUUCUUCGAGAAGUAGUGAAAUGCGAAGAUACGAAGGAGAAGAUCAUAAGCGAAGGCUUCUUACUGGGUCGUAACUGACACUGAGAGACGAAAGCUAGGGGAGCGAAUGGGAUUAGAUACCCCAGUAGUCCUAGCUGUAAACGAUGGAUAUUCGGUGCUGGAAAUUUUAUUAGAACAUUUCGGUACCCUAGCUAACGCGUUAAAUAUCCCGCCUGAGGAGUACGCUCGCAAGGGUGAAACUCAAAGGAAUUGACGGGGGCUCGCACAAGCGGUGGAGCAUGUGGUUUAAUUCGAUGCAAAGCGAAGAACCUUACCAGGGCUUGACAGUAGGUAUAAAAGUCUUAAUGGACUAUUUUAUAAAAUACAUAUACAGGUGGUGCAUGGCUGUCGUCAGCUCGUGUCGUGAGGUGUUGGGUUAAGUCCCGCAACGAGCGCAACCCUUGUUCGGAGUUAUAAGUAAUAUUAAUUAUUCUUCGAAAACUGCCUAAACAUAAUAAUGUAGGAGGAAGGCGAGGAUGACGUCAAGUCAGUAUGCCCCUUAUGCUCUGGGCUACACACGUGCUACAAUGGGAGGUACAAUAAAAAGGUCUAUUCGUAAGAAUAGGUUAAAUAAAAUAAACCCUCUCUUAGUUCGGAUCGUAGACUGCAACUCGUUUACGUGAAGUUGGAAUCGCUAGUAAUCGCCGGUCAGACAUACGGCGGUGAAUAUGUUCUCGAGCCUUGUACACACCGCCCGUCACGCCACGGGAAUUAAUCUUUCUGGAAAUCUUUGUUAAGAGAUGAUGGAAAGAUCGAUAACUGGGGUGAAGUCGUAACAAGGUAGCUGUACUGGAAGGUGCCGCUGGAUAAACU